CCGUCACUUCCCCUUCCAUUUCCCAGCCGUAAGCCUCUUCCUCACGCACGCCCUUCUAUCUUCAACCUCCAGCAGCUUCGUUGUCCCUGGUGGCCGGCGCACCUACAUGGAUUCCCCCUCCCUGUACCCUCUCGGCGCCCCAUGCCAUUUCCCCACCUCCGGCGGCUGAUGUAUACACGGCUGACCGGCAGCAGGGACACUGGCUAGGGACACCAACAGCCGACAGGAAGCUCUCCAGCAGGGCGUCCCUUCCCAGCCAACCCCAGCAGCGCAGCUUGCCUGGCACGGCUGGAGUGGCCCUCGCGCUCGCGUCUGGCGUGGCCCGCGUGUGUGCCCCGGCGUGGCCUGCGUAGCCCCAGCUCGAAUUUUGCGCGGCCCUAGCACAACAGCAGUCUCGCUGUUCUCGUGCCUUGCCGCGAGCUCAUCUGGUUGUCCGCCGUCGUUGCGAGACUAUGAUCCGUUUCUGAGCUUUGAGGGA
rnacentral:lncRNA from 7 species